rnacentral:rRNA from 1 species
AGUUUGGCCUGCCCAAUGAUGAUUUAAAUGGCUGCAGUAUCCUGACUGUACAAAGGUAGCGUAAUAAUUUGUCUUAUAAUUGAAGGAUGGAAUGAAUGGUUUGACAAAGGUGUGGCUGUCUCUUACAUAUUUGUUUGAAGUUAAUUUUCAGGUUAAAAAGCUUGGAUGAAAUUAAAGGACGAGAAGACCCUAUUGAGCUUAAAUUGAUAAUAGCGUUAAAUAAAAUAUAAGUUUAAAAUUUAUUAUGGAAUUAUAUAGUUUUAGUUGGGGCGACUAAGGAGUAGGUGAAGCUUCCUUUAAUAAUUUGGAAGGUUGUUUAUUGAUCCAUUUGUUUUGAAUUAAGAUCAAGCUACCAUAGGGAUAACAGCGUUAUCUUUUUUGAGAGUUCUUAUCGAUAAAAAGGAUUGCGACCUCGAUGUUGGAUUAAGAUUUAAUAAGGGUUGUAGAAGCUUUUAUGGUUAGUCUGUUCGA